AAAGAUGUCAUUCUGGAGAUGCUUCCUCCAAAAUGCCUUUCCAUGGAUGUUUCCACUUUGCUUGGGGACGCAGAAGACUGGAGCUCAAGAAUUUACUGUCGCCUUGAAUCGUACAUGUUAUGAAAAAACGGGGUUUAGUCCCCACAGACGCUACAUACACAGCCCUCUUCAAUGCCUGUGCUGAGUCGCCAUGGAAAGAUUCGGGCCUGCAGAGCGCGCUCAAACUACGGCAAGAACUAAAGAGCAAAAAUCUGGAGCUGAAUCUGAUAACAUAUCAUGCUCUGCUGAAAGUAUGUGCCAUCUGCUCAGAUCUCAGGACAUGCUUUGACGUACUGAAGGAAAUUGUGCAUAAAGGCCAUGCUGUCACCACAGAGACCUUCAGCUUCCUUCUCAUGGGCUGCAUAAAGGACAAGGAGAGUGGCCUCAGAUAUGCCUUGCAGGUUUGGCGACAAAUGAUUAAAUUGGGAAUUAAACCUCAUGGUUACAAUUACAAUUUGAUGCUCCAUGCUGCAAGGGAUUGUGGAAUAGGUGACCCAGUUGUGGCUUCUGACUUGUUGCUAACAAGCACAGAUGAAAACCGUACUCAAGUAAAGCUCAUAUCGGGUAGGCGGGGUCAAAAGGUGAAAGGUCAGAAAAGGAAGGGAGCAGACAGUGGAAUUUCUACCCAGCUGGAUGUGGAAACCAUGGAAAAACAAAUAUUUCAAGAAAAUUCCAGGAAAGCUGAGAAACAUUUAAUCAACCAUGAAGACAAAGUGAGUGAGGUUCAGGCUGAGCCAGGAACUGGAUUGGCUGGAAUCACCAAUAAGACAGUAGAAUGCAGUAGGACUGGAGACUUCAGUAGAAACCAGGCUAUUUCAGAUCCACCUCAAGCAAACCAAGGUCAAUUUGUUGAGCCUGCUUGCAACCUGCCCAAUUUGUUGGACUUGAAAAUCUCCAGUAAGAACUUGGUUUCCUUAGGGACGAUAGCAACGCCGUCCGAUAGGCUGGCUUUGAUGGGGAACAUGGAAGGGUUUUUGAAUAAAAUGAAAGAGGACAAUGUGGCACCCAACAUUAAGACUUUCACGCUGUUGGCUGAGCUGGUUGAACCUCUGAGCCAGUCAGAAUCCUCUUUAUUGACCGUCCUGGAUGAACAUAAAGUGAAAGUAGAUGUGACCUUUUUUAAUACUUUGUUGAGAAAGAAGAGUAAACUGGGAGACCUAGAAGGUGCAAAGGGCAUGCUGACAGCUCUAGUUCAGAGGGGAAUAUCACCCAACAUACAGACGUUCUGUAACUUGGCAAUAGCCUGCCGCAGAGAGAAAGAUGGACUGCAGUUACUUUUGGACAUGAAGAAGUCUGGGAUUACUCCUAACACCCACAUCUACAGCACCCUUAUCAAUGCAGCGGUGAAGCAGUUGGACUAUACUUACCUCACAGAAAUCCUACGAGACAUGAGAAAGAACCAGGUCCCCCCAAACGAAGUUGUCAUACGCCAGCUGGAGUUUGCAGCUCAGUAUCCACCUCAGUUUGACAGGUAUAAGUCAAAGAACACGUACCUGGAGAAGAUUGAUGGGUUCCGAGGCUACUAUUUCCGCUGGCUGAAAGCAAUGGUAGCAGAGGAGACUCCACACCCGUGGGCAAAAUACAGAACUUCAGCAGCCAAGGGCAGUGCAGAGGACAUGCAGCCACAGGGCACCAUGGAACAGUAACUAUUGAGAGCAAGUCAGUAUUUUCCAUGUGUGGAAUGUGCACUAUUUCAGAUGCUGGAACUACCUAGACAGAGGAAUUUGGAGGGCUGUUUCCUUCAGGUGCCUUAUAGUAGGCACCACUGUACUUGUAUGUUCUGACUAUUUUAAUAAAGUACCAUCUCAACAGAAGAAAUAAGGGGGUAGUCAUAGUGUAGCUUCCCACUACUGUUAAACAGAUGCUUUGUUAGUAGUCGCACACGUGUGUUAGAGGUUUGAAUUGCCAGAGUUGUUCGAAACAACUUAGUGGUUCUCUAAUUCAUCUGCAGAGGUAGAUCAUAAGGCAGGUUUUGAUUCCAUCUGCCUCUGUGUCCAGGCAUUACUGAAGAAGAGGACCUUUAGACCUGAACAGCAACCAAUGUCUACUGCUCCCUAGGAGAGGAAACUAACAUCACCCCUAAAACAAAAGCAACAAAGGAAAUGAAGUAAAAAGUAAGAGGAUUAUCUCUUUUUCAAAGGCCAAAACACUUAUUAGAUGCAAAUGCUUUCCUAUUACUUUUCCAGAGAAGCAUUUCCUGCUGUUUUUAGGAACGAUACACUGAUCACAUGUGGCAGAGGAGAUGGAGAACUUAAAAUGCUUAACACUAACAGCUGCUUGUGGAAUACAGCUGCUAAGCAUCUGUAAUGUGAAUGACAAACCUAAGGCCAGUUCUUGGCUCAAAUAGGAGACGACAAUACAGCUUUGACCCUGUUACUUUCCUUACUGUUUGCCAAGGGUGUGAUUAUCCAUGAAAUUAAGUACUCAGUUUGUACCUCCAUGCUAUCUCACUAACUUACAAUGCAAUUCUUGUUAAGCAAUUUAUUGAAAGCUGCCUUACCUUCCACCUAGAGAAGCUUUCAGGGCUUGAAAGUUGGCAGUCUGGGACUUGCUAAAUUUAGUAACAGAGCAAAAUUCCAAACCCCAGGAACUCAUUCCUAACAGAAAGCUGUAACCCAGGGAGAAUGAGGAAGAUUGACUUUCCAAUGGUACAACACACAACCAGGCCAGCUAGCCUCACUAGUACUGAAAUUUGAAGUAACAGAAAACCUGUAUUGAAGUUUGUACUAGUUUCUGUCUACCUGCCUCCCUAUCUUGCUUUAGUGAGUCACUUUGUAAUUAAGGACACUACUAUUAAAGACAAAAGGAUAGUUGUACAAAGUCAGCUUUCUGGGUAUGGCAUAGAGUUGUCACUUGUUAAGGAGUACACCCCAUUCACAGGUGCCUCUACUACUGACAAUACAGCUCUGCUGUAAGAGCCAUAUGCCAUUGUGUGUGUGUGUGAGAGAGAAUGUGUAAUUAAUCUUUGAACCUUGUCACAGGACUGUGCCACUCCACUGUGGGGGAGGUAAAAUUUUAUUUUAAAAUAAAAUGGAUACACAAGACUAAUCAAAAUCACUCACUACUGCAUUUUAUGAUCCAGGUGGACAUAUUGCUGUUCAGACUGUUAAAGGAAGCUUGACUCACUGCAGGGUUUAUACAAGACAAUUAUAGCAGUAAAAGUCCAUGAUGUGGAAUCAGCACUUUUCAGAACCUCAAAAGAAGUGUCCAGUUUUUAAAGAUUUCACCCUGAGCAGCCUCUGCAUCCACAGUGAGUGCACUCAAUGAUUCUCCCCUAUAAAGCAAAAACAAGCUUUAGUCACCACAUUCUAGAUAAGUUACUUUAUAUAGAGAACAAGUAUUCUUAAUAAGCUAGUGCAGUAUGCUAUGUCUCAAACAGGGGAAGUCCUCUGAAGCGUCCAUAGCUCUAAAUUUCCUGCUACUCUACAUACAGUCUCCACCACCGCUUUACACAACAUUAUGCGGAGGAAUCAGGCAUUACUAUAAAAACAAAUGGAAGUGAAUAUUCCAUCAGCAAAGAUUAUGGAAUCCUACAAAACUAGGUUUGGCCAAGAAGUGGAUCACUGGGACUCUGCUGUCUGGAACUAUGAAUAGAAAAUUCAAGGGAUAGUCACUGGACCAGUUAAAAUCUGGAACUAUCAGUUUUCCUUUCUACUAUACAAAUUUUCAUCUAAAGCAGUGGGAGCUUCUGCACUAUAGCUAUGUUCCAAGCUCAAGUUAUCAAGAAGAAAGGGAACACAUCAGAAACUAAACAGUUGUAUUUCCUUUUGGGUAUUUUAAGAUUCACUGCACUUUGCCACAGUCAAAUCCCUCUCAAAAAUAGCUCAGUCUGACUUGCAGGGGACAAGGACCAUUCUUUGUUCUGUAUUUGUGUAGCGCCUAGCACAAUCAGGUCCUGGUCUAGGACUAGGGCUCCUAGAUGCCACAGCAAUACACAAAAUUAGGCUCAAGACACUACGUAUAGGAAGUCAGUGCUCUGGUCUCAAGUGUUGUUCUAGCACCCUAAACACUGCACCAGAAUUUUAGUUGGUUAAGUGUGACAGUAACUGGGGUAAGUCUGUAUUACCCCCUUAAUGUCAUUUUCAUGGGCAAAUGCUUCAGGAAACAAAGGAAAAACAGAGGAUAGCCACUUAACAGCAGAAUCCAGUGAUAAGGAAACUAGAAACUGAUACUAUUGUCAAAGGUAGUAGGGGAGAUAUCAUUCCGGUAAGUCAUAACUGCUGGCUCAAAAUGCAAGCAAGGAAAAUAGCAUUAUAGCAAAUAAAAAAUUCAUACCACUUCCAGCUUGCUUUUUGGGACCCUGCAAAUGCAGUUAGUUCCAAAGUUGGUAUCCCGAGUCUGGAUACAGCGCAGGCAGCAAAGGUUCUCAUAACCCUGUUUCUUCCACUUUGCAAUCAGGUUUUUGUCAGCAUAUCCUUCUCUGAUACAGUAUUCAUACAGUUCUGCACGAGAGAGGUGACUGGUCAGCACCACAGAAUUCUCAAUGAAUAGUUUAUUUAAAAAGUUUUAGUCUUUACACUGAAUCUAGUUCUCAGUGUCUGUAUUUGCUAGCAAGUCGAACUAGCAGAGGGAAAAGUCACUUUUUGUUUUUUUAAAGAACAAUUAUUUAAUCUUUUCCCAUCAAUAAUCUAAUUCUGGUUUACACUCACUGGCUAAUGACUCAGACAGUCCAUCUGGAAGCUGUGAUCUCUUCAUCUCAAGAGCAAAUAUUUAAGCUUUUUACCUCUGCUAAUAGCUUUUCUCUUAUAGAAGAGAUCAAAGAUGUAGCGUGUUUUCUGGUGAUGAAUUCUGAAGAUGGGCCAGAGGGAUUCUACCUUCCUCUUCCCUUCAUGAGGCUCAGUCUCCGCUGAGGAAAGAGGGCACAGAAGUCAGAUUUUGCUGUCAGUGACCUGCAAGUUAUUACAGCAGUAUAUAUCCUAAAAAAGCACCAUUAUUCUGAGAAAAAAAAUGUAAUUUUAAAGGGGCCUGGGGAAAUAGUAAAAAACAAAAUUCAAUGGAGAAAAAACACACAGGAGGUAUUUAACUCUCAUGCACUCCCGUUGGAAAGAGAGUCAGAGAGCUAAAGGGAUGAUGGUAAGGAAAAUGCAGGUAUAAUGAUUGGAUAGGACAGGCACAUCUGAAUACCCAUGAAACCAAGAGUGACAGCACAGACUGGAAUCAAACACUGCUGGUCUUUGCAAUGCAAGCUUCCCCCUGCACAUAGUUAUACCAGUGUGCUUUAAUUCUGGCCUAUAGUAGUCCUUAGAGGUUGGGUGGAGUACUACUGAUUCAGAAGAACAUUCGUUUCAUUUGCAAAUCAAGCCAUAGAUCCAGAGAUGAUCCACAUAACUCAUUCAGUCAUGUUUCAACCCCACGUGUCUUAAAUUAGAAUUAGGAAUUUGUCUUCUAGGGGUAACUUUCAAUGCAGGAAAUUAACACACUAAGUUACCACCAUCAAAGUGUUUCAUCAUUAUUAGCCCCUACUGAAAACAGAUUUAAAAAAAACACACUUGCUGUCCUUUUAUAAAACGUGUAUCCUGAAGCUCUUAAGGUUUGUACAAUCACAGGGUCACAUGCUAACCAGCAUCUGGCUUCAUAACUUACCUUCUCUCAUUUUUUGAUCCAGCUCAUCCAAUGUUGGUUCAAUCAGUUCCCAGCCAUCCGGAGGAGCUUUCCUGCUUCUCUUUACUUUGGGCAUCUUCUCAAAAAAGGCUCUUCAGGAGACAAAAGCAGGUCAGGUUUUAAUAGCACUCGUUUCCAGACAUCAUAAAGUCAUUGUGCCCCCCGCUGCAGGGAAAGAAAAGAAAAAAAAAAAAAGCAUAAGGAAGCCCGUGAGACUUUUCAGGAUUAUUUUGACUCCCUUGCUGUCAUUACUCCUUUUUCAAUGAUAAAGAUAAAGGUGUUUUUUUUUUUUAAAUUUAGAGAUAAAUGAAACUAAGGAACAAAACCAACACUUUUUUUUUAAUACAAUGAAUAAGUGUUUAACGUGUUACCAGUGUAUAGGAGGGAGUGCGCCUUUCCUAACUGCCCUUAUAAUUCAUCACAUAUUUCUUCACUUUUGGGGGCCAGCUAGGGAAGGUUUCCCAGUUAAUAGUACUUUGAACUGAAGGCAUUAGAGAAAAGCAAAGACCUAUUUAUUAUGCUUCACAAACUACUAUGAGAUACAUAUGCAUCAUAACUGCCAUUGUAAUGACAGAGAAGCCAAAUAGCACCCAGCAAGUCAGUGACAAAGCUGGGAUGGAAAUCCCAGAGUUUUAGCUCCCCUCACACUUGCUUUUAACCACAGAACUGUGGCCACAACCAUUAUACACAAAUAUUGUGAAACCACCUAGCCAAGUCAAAGAAACCCCGAGUUUAAACAUCCAGGGCUGGGCUGAAAGCUAGUCAUACCGACCAGUGGUUGCUGCGUGUACCUAGGGGACUAUCUUUGUACGAGACCCAGCCCAGACGCCCCAAGGGAUGGUCGAAGCGGGCUGGCUGGAAUAAGGAGCAGGCCCAGAUAAGGAGCAGGCGCGGGUCUCUUGUUGCUAGGCUCGAAGGGAGAACGUGUCACCCCUUACAAUGGCCUGGUACCCCCUGACCUACUCUCAUCCCGCCCAGCAGCGCGUCGGGCAGCGCAACGCGACCCACAGCCGCCCCAGGGGAUAUCACCCUCCCUGAAAGAAGGGAGCUCACCUGCCAAAUGGGGAGAGAAAGACGAUCACUAUUUACUGCUUCCGCCUGUUCAAAUCCGUCGCUCCCCUAUAACGUCACAAGCAGCUGGGGGUCCUUCCGUUGCCUAGUCGCUUUAAUGACCUAAACUCACUCGCUGUUUUCUGGGCGGGGAGCACAGCAAUCCGCGUGUGCAUUUGGUGUCCAUCGCAACGCCUGUAGAAAAGGAGGCCACAAAGGCCGAGCAAGACAGUACACAAGCCCUGAAGAGAUUGAUGCACAGCUCCAAGCAGAAAAACAAAAGGCCAGGGAAGAGGAGGAGCAAGAAGAAGGGGGAGAAGGGGCAAUAGGAGACCC